rnacentral:ncRNA from 1 species
GACUUGAACCUGGGUGAUUUAUCCAUGACUAGGACAAAACUUGGGUGGAACUAAUGCUUAGUUUAAGACUGCUUCUCAAAAGUGCUUUUGGGAGAGGGGAGCACUUUUGGGGAGAAGUUAAGAUUUUUAACUUCUACAAAAAGUGCUUUUAGGCCAAUUUUUGUCUUGGAAAAUCACUUUUUCUCUAAAGAAUCAGCUUGGAUAGGAAUGCUUUUGUCCCAAAAGUGUUUUUUUUUCCCUAAAAGUGUUUUUGAGAAGCAUUCCUAAACUAGGUCUAAGAGGAGGUCCAAACUAACUGUUGUUGAAGAAUCAACAGACGAGUUGUGGUUAGAGCCGAAAUGCCACUCGAACCCAGAGUUAGCUAG